GGGAUCGUGGCGUAAUGGCGAGCGCAGCCGCCUCUUAAGCGGCCAGGUAGGGGUUCGACUCCCCUCGAUCCCA
rnacentral:tRNA from 1 species